rnacentral:rRNA from 1 species
GUCGACGAUUGAGUUUGAUCCUGGCUCACGACGAACGCUGGCGGCGUGCUUAGACAUGCUUCCCAACGAUGAACCACUUCCCGGGGGAUUAGUGCUCAACGGGUGAGUAACACCUGGUUCAGCUGCCCUUCACUCUGGGACAAGCCCUGGAAACGGGGUCUAAUACCGGAUAACACUUCCAUUCGCAUGGGUGGAUCUUAAAAGCUCCGGCGUUGAAAGAUGAUGCCGCGGACUAUCAGAUUGUUGUCGAGAUAAUGGCUCACCUUCUGGACGACGGUUACCCGGCCUGACAGGGCGACCGGCCACACUGGCACUGAAACACGGGCCAAACUCCUACGGGAGGCAGCAGUGGGGAAUAUUGCACAAUGGGCGAAAGCCUGAUGCAGCGACGCCGCGUGAGGGAUGACGGCCUUCGGGUUGUAAACCUCUUUCAGCAAGGAAGAAUCGAAUGUGACGGUACCUGCACAAAAAGCGCCGGCUAACUACGUGCCAACAGCCGCGGUAAUACGUGUGGCGCAAGCGUUGUCCGGAAUUAUUGUCUCUAAAGAGCUCGUAGACGGUCUGUCACGUCGGAUGUGAAAGCCCGGGGCUUAACCCCGUGUCUGCAUCGAUACGGGCAGACUAGAGUGUGGUAGGGAGAUCCGAAUUCCUGGUGUAGCGGUGAAAUGCGCAGAUAUCAGGAGGAACACCGGUCGCGAAGCCGGAUCUAUGGGCAUUACUGCCGCUGAGGAGCGAAAGCGUGGGGAGCGAACAGGAUUAGAUACCCUGGUAGUCCUAGCCGUAAACGUUGGUUGCUAGGUGUGGGCGGAUAUCAACUCCGUCCGUGCCGAAGCUACCGCAUUAAGCACGCCGCCUGGUGAGUACGGCCGCAAGGCUAAAAUUCAAAGGAAUUGACGGGGCGCCGCACAAGCGGCGGAGCAUGUUGUUUAAUUCGAUGUGACGCGAAGAUCCUUACCUGGGCUUGACAUGCAGGGUGAAACCCGUGAAAGCGGGUGCUCUUCGGAGCCUGCACAGGUGGUGCAUGGCUGUCGUCAGCUCGUGCCGUGAGGUGUUGCCUUAAGUGGCGCAACGAGCGCAACCCCUGUCCCUAGUCGCCAGCGGAUCAUUCCGGGAACUCUAGGGAGGCUUCCGGCAGCAAACCGGACGAAGGUGGGGGUGAAGCCAAGUCAUCAUGCGCAGGAGUUUCAGGGGUGCAAACAUGCCACAAUGCUCGGUACAAAGUCAGCGAUCCCGUAAGGGGGAGCGAAUGCCAGAAAGCCGGGCUCAGUUCGGAUUGGGGUCUGCAACUUGACCCCAUGAAGUUGGAGUCGAUAGUAAUCGCAGAUCAGCAACGGUUCGGUGAAUGCGUUAGCGGGCCUUGUACUCCCCUAUCCGUCACGUCCAGAAAGUCGGUAACGGC